GCGUCCCCAUUUCGCCUUCAGCACCUGGUGAUGUAUUAGUGAUUGAUAGAUUGAAGGCUUUUCCACCAGUGUCUGUCCACCUGGACCUGCUUCUUCCUGCCAGAAAUGACCUUAACCAGAAGAACCACCAUCUUUGGUAGUUGUAUCAAGCGGAGACACUCUCUUCUAAAAAGAUGCAACUUAACACCUUACCUGCAUAUUAUCCAGUUGUACAGAAUUUGCCUAUGGAUGUCGCAAAACUUCUCACUGUCUUUGCUUUGUUAUUACAACAGAUACAGGGAUUAAACAGAAUAGCCAUAAAAUAAAAUAAAAUAAAAUAA